GUGGGCAGGGUGACAGACUGCUCUGAGAGCAUGCCAGAUUGGGAAAGAAAGAGGCAGCUGCCUGGAUAUAACAAAUGAAGUGUGCCACAGAAAGAAGGCAGGAGACCUUGGAAGCUUUAUUGGUAUCACAGGACAUGGCAGUAGCAAGGACUUGCUAAGAAAUUUCUAGCUCAAAAACCAUAAAAGCUCAAGAUCCCAGAAGGUCAACUCUGAAUCCAGACUUUCCAAUGUGAUAAGAUCUUUCCGUCUUGGAUUUCAGCUCAUCCACUCUAGAA